UACUUCCUGCAACAGAGAUUUGUAUUCGAAAGGGAGAGCCAUUUUAUGUUGUCAGAAAGAAAAUGCACUCAUCUGGAUUGAACACAGCACUCCAUCUUGCUGCAGACAAGAAGUUCUCCAUGUGUUUUUGACAAGUUUUUCACUGGGGAAAUGUUCCCGUUGCAAUGCCCUAGUUCGUGAUACACAGGGGAAAGGUCAUUUCGAGGACUCAGUUGACUGAACCUGCGUAUCUUUGGGGUAUGGGAGGAAACUGGAGCACCAGAGGAAGCUCACGCAUGCACCGGGAGAGCAUGCAAACUCCACGCAGACAGCAGGAUGCAUCAUGAGCCCCGAUGGAGGGCCUUGGCCUGAAACGUCAACUGUUUAUUCAUUGACAUAGAUGACGCCUGACCUGCUGAGUUCCUCCAGCGUUCCGUGUGGGAUGCAUUUGUACUGAACUGAAAAAAUCUAUGCUCCAAUGAUAAAUUCUGUACUAUUGUGAUAAAAUUAAAUUUAAAACACCACUGGUGUCGGGUAACCAAACGACUCAGGGAGUCUGAUGCUGAAUCAGCCCAUCCAACAUCUGCAGGAAGUGUGCGGGAACUCUAGCGCUGUCCUUACUUACACCUCUCCUGGCCGCUUUCCCAAAAUGUCUGUGACUUAUGGAGAGUUGGUUGAUAUCUGAUCAGGGCUGUCUUGAUGAGUUUCACAUCUGGACACUGUGAGUGUUGUUGAGAGGUACCUCGAGGGCCCAGGGAUACAGUCUGAGGUGGGUCGGUUGUCGGUCAACAUCACUCUGCUUUCUCCAAAGGUCAUCGCAUUGACGGGCAGUAAAUAAUGACCAGAUUGACCAGACACGGUACCGCUAGACUUCAGCAUGGCCAGUUCCUG